rnacentral:rRNA from 1 species
UACGAAGGGGGGCUAGCGUUGUUCGGAAUUACUGGGCGUAAAGCGCACGUAGGCGGAUCUUUAAGUCAGGGGUGAAAUCCCGAGGCUCAACCUCGGAACUGCCUUUGAUACUGGGGAUAUCGAGUCCGGGGAGAGGUGAGUGGAACUGCGAGUGUAGAGGUGAAAUUCGUAGAUAUUCGCAAGAACACCAGUGGCGAAGGCGGCUCACUGGCCCGGUACUGACGCUGACGGUGCGAAAGCGUGGGGAGCAAACAGGG